UAGAGUUUGUGUUCAGAAAAAUUCGAAACAUUCAAAAUUUGGGCAAUGUUUACCUCAGAGGGCCCUCUAUUGUUAUGCGCAGAACCGAUGCGCAGAACGGACUUGACUUCCCCUUUAAAGAUUACCCUGAUUUUCAUCGCCGUCAUGUCUAACUAUGAAACAGAUUCGGAAGACAGUUAUCAGUCUGAUGACUCGGAUAUAAACUUCAUUCCGGGAUAUAUAAUGGAAAACUCUGAACUUGUAAAAAAUUCGGACGAUGAUUCCAGCGUUGAGGAAUUGAACAUGGGUCUAGCUUACGCCGAUGAACCUUUG